UUAAUUGAAGCCAAAAAGAGGCCUAUCAUUGUUAAUGAUAUAAAUGAAAAUAAAAUUCCAAUUAAA
rnacentral:tRNA from 1 species